CUGAGUGAGGGCCUUCGGGUCCGACCUCCAACCCUUUGUGAACCAACUCUGUUGCUUCGGGGGCGACCCUGCCGUUUGCGCGGUGGCGGCGCCCCCGGAGGCCCAAUCAAACACUGCGUAACUUUGCGUCGGAGUCUUAAACAAACAAAUCA
rnacentral:misc_RNA from 1 species